UCAGACGGUCAAAACUUAUUACCGGUUGAUAUGGUGUCUGGAACCGGUUCCAUCGUAUACAAACUUCCCAAUUCUUCUAUUAGGUUUGUCAUUGGAAUUGGAAGAACAAUUGGGAGAGAAAAAUGGCAGGUGAAUCGUCUUUGUUCAAGUUCUUGAGCCCAGGACGCCGUUUCCAAUCUACGGACAUCCAGGCCGCCGCCGGCUGGGGUGUCGCCGCCGCCACAACUGCUCUCUGGGUCAUUCAGCCAUUUGACUGGAUCAAGAAAACGUUCUUCGAGAAGCCACAAGAGAAAUGAAUUGUUAUUUUGAGAAGACUCACCCCAGUUUUUGUUAAUAAGUAUCAGUUGAUUGCUUUGCCGCAAAUGGGUAAACUGCAGAGUUCUUUGGAAUAACAUGUUUUGUAAUAGAAUCUCUUUUGACUAAAAUUGAGUUCUUCCGUUUGAAAUUUUAUUGAUAACCAUUUGAUUUUGUGUUU